CCUACGGGAGGCAGCAGUGAGGAAUAUUGGUCAAUGGACGGAAGUCUGAACCAGCCAUGCCGCGUGCAGGAAGACGGCUCUAUGAGUUGUAAACUGCUUUUGUACAAGGGUAAACCUGAAUACGUGUAUUCAGCUGAAAGUACUGUACGAAUAAGGAUCGGCUAACUCCGUGCCAGCAGCCGCGGUAAUACGGAGGAUCCAAGCGUUAUCCGGAUUUAUUGGGUUUAAAGGGUGCGUAGGCGGAUUGAUAAGUUAGAGGUGAAAUGUCCGAGCUUAACUCGGGAACUGCCUCUAAUACUGGUGAUCUAGAGAGUAGAGGAGGUAGGCGGAAGGUAUGGGGUAGCGGGGAAAUGCUUAGAGAUCAUACAGAACACCGAUUGCGAAGGCAGCUUACCAAGCUAUAUCUGACGUGGAGGCACGAAAGCGUGGGGAGCAAACAGGAUUAGAUACCCUAGUAGUC
rnacentral:rRNA from 1 species